rnacentral:rRNA from 1 species
CAAUAGCGUAUAUUAUUGAUGUUGCAGUUGAAACGUUCGUAGUCGGAUUUAAUUUAGGGUUGAGGAACUUGUUUUCCAAGAGGAACUUGUUUUCCACAAGCUCGCCUUUUGCACUUUACUUUGAGUGAAUCGGCGUGUUUCACGCAGGCAAUCGCCUUGAACGAUUUACCAUUGUCUAACCAGAAUGUGAAAAGCUUCCUUGUCGCUUCGGAGCGUUUUCUACACUGAUAGGAACGGUUGAGGGCAUUCGUAUUCGACUGCUAGAGGUGAAAUUCUUUGAUUAGUCGAGGAUGAACUACCGCGAAAGCUUCUGCCAAAGACGUUUCCUUUGA